rnacentral:piRNA from 1 species
UAUAAUAUAAAUUCAACCUUCUCAGUCUGC